GAGUUCUACCCUGACAGAGGAUCAAUUCAUGAUUGCAGGGGACCAGACCAUCGUGAAUGGCAGUGUUCCCAAUUUUGGCAAUGCCCUUCUACUGAUGUUUGCAACAUACUACUGCCUCAACAUCGUCAGUCCACCAGAACUGGGAGCAACUCUGGAAGUCUUGUAAGAGAUUAACUUGGUCUGCAUGAGGUAAAAUGGAACAGGGGAAGUCUACAGAGCCGUGGUAGCUGAACUGAAAGCUGUUGCUGCAUGGAGCUGACAUGCCCUCACCAGACAUGCCAUUUAACUGCAGCCUGGAAAGUCUUUACAAGGCACAGGUGGGGAGUCACUUUCCCCACAUUACAUUUGGGUCUUAAUUUCCCAUGGUGUGCCCCCCCCCCCCCCCCCCCCCCCCACAGAGUCACAGUGCCUUGUCUUUGCUGGUUUUCUUUAAAGACUUCCUCUCUCUCCUUUAUCUUAUCGGCCUGAAGCAGUGCAAUGACAGAAAACAUAUUUGACUACACAAGGAAAAAUAAAUUCAUAAAGAAAAGAUUUACAACAUUUGUUGGUCAUUAGCCAUAGGU